GUGUGGAGAGGGGCGACUCUAUUGACGAUGAUGGAGUUCCCGAUGCGACCCAUGAGCAGGGAUUGGAUGAGAGCGCAACCCCGAUGGAACAGGCAGCGUUCGCGGUGGUUCAUUUGGCCAUGAGUGCGGACAAGCAGGUCCGUGAGGAAGACAGAGUAAAAGGUGUGAGACGAGAGGCGUCGCUGCCGGAGUCCGAGAUGUCCACCGGGAAGAUGAACCUACAGGCAUCUGGUUGGGUUAAGGGGUGUGUUUCCCUAAAUCUAUCAAACCAGUAUGCAUUGCUGAAUUUUUGUUGUUGAGGGAUUAGCAGUGAUGUUGUCAUAUGUGCAUUGACAUCCCCUUGGUGUUCAGAACAUUCAGACAAGUAGUUGAUGUUGUUCUUAAGUAGUGUACGGUUAUGAAUGGAUGAUGGUCUAUCCAGCUUGGAGCAUGUUGUUACUAAUUCGAAGGUUGUUGUACAAUUGGUUAUUAGUUAUGACUUAUAGUUCA